rnacentral:rRNA from 1 species
UGGGUGGAUACAGAGGGCCGGCCGCUGGCAACAUCGGUCCAAUCCUUAAAGUCAUCCUCAGUUCGGACUGGGGUCUGCAACCCGACCCCACGAAGCUGGAUUCGCUAGUAAUCGCGCAUCAGCCAUGGCGCGGUGAAUACGUUCCCGGGCCUUGUACACACCGCCCGUCAAGCCAUGAAAGCCGGGGGCGCCUGAAGUCCGUGACCGCGAGGGUCGGCCUAGGGUGAAACCGGUGAUUGGGGCUAAGUCGUAACAAGGUACC